AGUGUUUUAGCUCAGCUGGUUAGAGCACACGACUCAUAAUCGUGGGGUCGACAGUUCAAGUCUGUCCAUCGCCACCA
rnacentral:tRNA from 1 species